GGGGAUUUAGCUCAGUGGUAGAGCGCUUCCUUGCCUAGCAAGCACAAGGCCCUGGGUUCGGUCCCCAGCUCUGAAAAAAAGAAAAAAGAAAGAAAAAAAAAAAAAAGAGUACUGGCUACUCUUCUGGAGGUCCUGAGUUCAAAUCCCAGAAACCACG
rnacentral:tRNA from 1 species